rnacentral:tRNA from 1 species
GCCCCAGUGGUGUAGCGGACUAUCAUACGGCCCUGUCGAGGCCGUGACCCGGAUUCGAAUUCCGGCUGGGGCGC